GUUAUUAUUAUUGUUGCUGGAUAGGACAGAGAGAAAUGGAGAGAGGAGGGGAUGGCAGAGAGGAGGAGAGAAAGACAGACACCUGCAGACCUGCUUCACCGCUUGUGAAGUGACUCCCCUGCAGGUGGGGAGCCGGGGGCUCGAACCUGGAUCCUUACACCGGUCCUUGCGGUUUGCGCCACAUGCGCACCCGCUGCGCUACCGCCCAACCCCCUCCCCUUCUUUUUCUUUUCUUUUCUUUUCUUUUCUUUUCUUUUCUUUUCUUUUCUUUUCUUUUCUUUUCUUUUCCUUUUCCCAUUCCCUUUUCUUUCUUUUUUCUUCUUUUCUUCCUUUUUUCGUUCCUCCUUCCUCUCCUCCCUCUCUCUUUCCUUCCUUUCCUCUUUCUUUGUUUUGUCUGUCUUUCCCACCCUCCAAUCCCCCCCCUUACUUUCCAGGAUUUUCUCAUCCCAGUCAUUGCUAAAGUCCAGUAGAGAGGCCUAUCACUUGCAUUCCAGAAGAACUGAUUAUUAUUCACGCCGCCAGAGGACAGGGAGGACCAGGUGUGAGGCCAGAGGGCUGGCGAUUCCACCCAGGAGACCCCAGCCUGGCCUCCUGACUUCCGAGCUCAGUGAUCCCGUCACUGAGGCUUGUGCCAUGAAGCUCCCAGUGGAAAUUCUGGACACCAGACCCCCGUGUCUGCAGGAUGCACUGAGUGAUAACAAGGAAGAGGAAGCACACAGGGCAUAUUGAGACGUCAUCGAGAAAGAAAGUGGCCCUACAGAACAAAUACGAGGUCUUUGUGAGAAAAGAAAACCAUUAAGCCCACGCCUUUUUGAAGAGGGGAACUGGCCAGCUGGGUUGGCUGAGCUGUCCGAAAGCUUUGGUGUUAUAAUCACCUGCUACUUUCAUGCCGGGAAGAAGAGCAGCCUCACCAUCAAGGGCAGGCCCUCUGGAGAGCAGAGGAACUCUACAGGCAUGAAGGCGCAGCAAUGACCCGAUGGCAAAGUAAGUAAAUAAACCAGGCAUUUUAAGAUGAUCAAGUGAGCUCUUCGAAAUGAAAACCAUUAAGAUUCAGCCUCAACAGAAGGUUGAGAAGUCAGAAAGAGGAAAUGCUCAAGGAAGCAGAAUAAGAAAAAGAGGCAGACAAAAGAAUAAAAGCAGGAAGAAAAUUUGUGGGUUGGGGGCCAGGUGGGUUACGUGCACAUAAUACAAAGUGUAAGGACCCACUCAGGGAUCCUGGUUCAAGCCCCCAGCUCCCACCUGCAGGGGAGUUGCUUCACAGGUGGUGAAGCUGGCCUGCAGGUGUCUUUCUCUCUUCCUCUCUAUCUUAUCCUACUCUCUCAAUUUCUAUCUGUCCUAUCUUAUUAAAAAAAAAUGGAAAAAGUGGCCUGCAGGAGCAGUGAAUUUGUAGUACUGGCACUGAGCCCUGCUGAUAACCCUAGAGGCAAAAAAGAAACAAAGAGAAAAAGAAAGAAAAUUAGUGGGUCAGAUUUGAAGGUCAGACCUUUCAAUUUCAUUCCACACACCCCUCCCUCACCUCCUCUGCUGAACUCAAUUUUACUUUCUGAGGGGAAAAAGAGUGGUUGAGAAAUCAUUAUUAUUUCAAUGCUUAAAACAUAUGGAAACUUUCUCUUUCUUCCCCAGUAGAGUCUAGUAAACUAUGCUUAUGAGGGAAUACGCAAAUAUCCAAUCAAGAUUAGCAAUGACAUCUAGAACAUGUCUCCUGAGUGCCCAUGUCUCUCUCUUACAGAACAUGGUUCAA